GGGGCUCCCAGCCACAGCUAAUGCCCCAGGGCUUCUAAAUCUUGAGAGCCCCCGCCUCUUCCGGUUGAGGCCACGCCCCCAGGGCUCCGGGAGUAUGGUUUAACCUGUAUAUUUGCAAAAGAUGGGGAAUAGAAUGUAGCUUCACCAGCCCGUAACACCCACAAACCAAUGGCUUAGCUGAAAACACUAAUAAAUCCAUCAAAAGAGCGCUGAAGAAGAUGGUUGAUGACACUGCAAGUAACUGGAAUGAAUUCCUUGAGCCCACUUUGAUUUCUUUGCGAACUAAAGUACACGCAACAACAAAACUUUCACCCUUUCGACUAAUGUUUUGCAAUGACCCAGUGUUUCCAGAAGAAGUCUCAGAGAAUGGCAUGAUUCCAGAUAUCAAUGAAUUUGGGGAAGAUUUCUGCAAAGAGUACAGGACAAAUAUGAAAUCUAGACCAGUGGUCUCCAAAGUGGGGUGCGCGCACCCCAGGGGUUGUGCAAGACGAUCCACUGGGGGGGCGUGGCAGGAGGAGCGCCGCUGGAGAAAAAAAAAAAGGGCGGCCGGAGGAGCGCCACCCUAAAGUUGGCCGGAAUGCCGCCCCUUACAGUGUGCUGCCCCAGGCACGUGCUUCCUACGCUGGUGGCUGGAGCCGGCCCUGUGAGGUAUCCUGAGAGUGGAAUUCUUCAAUAUGAUAUAUUAUUGCUUCCUUACCACACACCAGGUCAUUGGGAUCUUGCGAAAGCGUGGAAGACUACUGCAUAUACUGCAACUUUGUCAGUUGUGAAAAAGAAAGUGAAGAUUGCAUAAUGGUCAAGUGUGACUCUUGUAAGAGGUGGGCACAUAUGCCUUGCGUUCCAGAAGGAACCAUUCAAGAAAUCAUCACUGAUGAGAAGAAAGAAUACAAGUGCAAAAAAUGUGCAUAGUUCAGCUCAUUACCAAAAUUAUGUUGUGUAAAUGGUGAUUUUUAAAAAAACAUCUUGGAACAAGAAGCAAACUGUUUUUGUUUAUAUACCAGCUUAUAAUAAAGUUUUUAAA